AUUGAACGCUGGCGGCAGGCUUAACACAUGCAAGUCGAGCGGGGUGAUGGUGCUUGCACUAUCACUUAGCGGCGGACGGGUGAGUAAUGCUUAGGAAUCUGCCUAUUAGUGGGGGACAACAUCUCGAAUGGGAUGCUAAUACCGCAUACGUCCUACGGGAGAAAGCAGGGGAUCACUUGUGACCUUGCGCUAAUAGAUGAGCCUAAGUCGGAUUAGCUAGGUGGUGGGGUAAAGGCCUACCAAGGCGACGAUCUGUAGCGGGUCUGAGAGGAUGAUCCGCCACACUGGGACUGAGACACGGCCCAGACUCCUACGGGAGGCAGCAGUGGAGAAUAUUGGACAAUGGGGGGAACCCUGAUCCAGCCAUGCCGAGUGUGUGAAGAAGGCCUUAUGGUUGUAAAGCACUUUAAGCGAGGAGGAGGCUCUUUUGGUUAAUACCCAAGAUGAGUGGUCGUUACUCGCAGAAUAAGCACCGGCUAACUCUGUGCCAGCCGCCGCCGUAA
rnacentral:rRNA from 1 species